AGGAUGGCUUUCAUAACUCUGAGGAGAACCUGGGGUGGAAUUGCUCAGUGGCACAAUCUGGGCCAAGAGAUCUGGAGACUGUCCAUUCAUCCAUCCCUCCCUCAGCUAUACCCACGUUAUCCCGUAGAUGGUCACGACAUGCCGGAGCCUAUCCCAGCUGACACCGGACAAUCCAAAUAAUAUAAAAGUCCACCAGAAUCCGACAUUGCGAAAGGAAGCAUAAUUUUCCUCUGUGGAUAAUCCUUGUCACAGCAAAGCCUACAGCAAUGACUGCAGCAAAUGCUUACAUCUAACAUAAGCCUCUAUGGUUGCCCAUAAGCGCGA